GGCGGCGUGGCGGAAUUGGUAGACGCGACGGAUUCAAAAUCCGUUGUCCGCAAGGACGUGCCGGUUCGACUCCGGCCGCCGCUACCA
rnacentral:tRNA from 1 species